UUUGAAGGUGGACCUAAGAUGCCAACACAACACGCGGAAUUCAUCCUCAAAGAAAAACAUUUUUCAUGUAUGUCAUUCUCAAGAGGCAAAGCUUUUCAAAGAACAGAAAGUCCAGAUCUGCUGAUGUACACAUCAAUGAAGGAUUGUGUCUCUACAUCACCCUGAAACAUACACAUCAUCACCUGCUCAUGUGUGCUGAGGCUAUGCGGUACCGAGAUGUAGCACCAGAGACCAGCAAUAAACUGCAGACUCUUUUUGAAAGUGGCCACUCUCCCUCUUCUGCUCUUACCACACUAAAAUACGACCUUCAGGAAGAGAUGGGUGACUCAUACGUCUUUGCAGCUGCUGAUCGCUCCAUUUGUCCAGAUCUAAGUUUCUGUUUUAGGAAAGAACAACAUACCAGACAACUGGUACAGGGGAAUGACUGAAGAUCAGAAUGCAGACCUGUCUGUCACAGGUAAAUAACUUUGAAUGA